GACGAACGCUGGCGGCGUGCUUAACACAUGCAAGUCGAACGGAGUGGCGAACGGGGGAGUAACACGUGGGUGACCUGCCCUGCACUUCGGGAUACGCCUGGGAAACUGGGUCCAAUACCGGAUAGUGUGGGAUGGGCGCGGGGCCUAUCGGCGUGUUGGUGGGGUAAUGGCCUACCAGGGCGGCGGCGGGUAGCCGGCCUGGGACGGUGGACGGCCACCAUGUGCCUGAGACACGGCCCAGACUGCUACGGGUGGCAACAGUCGAGAAUAUCACACAAUGGGCGGAAGCCAGAGGCAGCGACUCCGGGUGGGUGAUGACGGGCUGCGGGUUGUGAACUCCUUUCACCAUCGCCGCGGUAGCUGACGAAGAAGCACCGGCUAACUACGUGCCAGCAGCCGCGGUAAUUC
rnacentral:rRNA from 1 species